ACACAGAUCAGGUAAUGCAGUCUGUAGAGCCCAGUCGGCAGUUUGUAAAGGACUCAAUGUGGCUGGUUAAAAGAUGCACCAAACCCGGCAACAAAGAAUUCCAGAAGAUCGCCAUGGCUACAGCGAUAGGAUUUGCUAUCAUGGGUUCACUGGCUUCUUGGUGAAACAGAUCCAUAUAUCCAUUAAUAACAUUACUGUGGGUGGCUGA
rnacentral:lncRNA from 1 species